rnacentral:antisense_RNA from 1 species
GAGGUGCGGCGCGCGCCCUCCUCCCAUUGGACCCGGCGCUCCCGGCAGGGGGUGACCUUUAUCUUCAUGGCCCAGUGUGGCUGCAAGAGCUCUAGCAUCCAAGUUCCCAGCAGAAGGAUGGAGGACUGGCUGGAAAAACAAGGACACACAGGGUAUGCAUCAGGAUCUUUCUGCUGAUGCAGCUGUUAAGAGUGUUUCAUAAACUGUGACACUGAGACUUGAAGAAGCUGAGUGAGAAGGCCAUGCGGAUAUCUUGGAGAAGUGCAUUCCAGGAAGAGGAAAAGCCAGUGCAGAGACACUGAAGCAGGGCAUGACUGAUGUGUGUAAGGAGCUCAUAUAUAUGAUCAUCUACAGUCCACUGAGGAGAAUAGCAGACGAGAGGCCAGGUGCAGUGCAUGUAAUCCCAGCACUUUGGGAGACUGAGAUGGGAAGAUCGCUUGAGGCCAGGAGUGCAAGACCAGCCUGGGCAACAUAGCAAGAACUUGACUCUACUAAAAAAAAAAAGGAUCCUUCAACUUCAACAAUAACAACACGAGG